GGGUUCUAAUUCCGGUCCCACCAGCAGGGGAUGAGGACCUCAGCUUCCACACCUAUCAAGCCCCCCGCUUUCCACGGGGGCCACACCGGCCUCACUCCCCGGGUUUCCGUGAGGAUCAAGUGACAGCCGUCUGAGAGAUGAAGAAAUGGGCUCACAGGAAGAGGGCUCGGCUCCCUCCACCCAGCACUGUAGUCCAAAGCCUGGCUCUUCCCGCCCGACCACCCUCAGCCUGGGCAAGACCCUCCUCCCGCAGCGAGAGAGAGCAGAAGGAAGCCCCAAGACUGAACACCCCGGCCCUGCAGGCGGGCCUCACAGACAGACGGGAACUGGGGGAAUGCAAUCAGGAGCCAGAUCCGGGCAAAACAGCCUCAGACACAUUCCACUUCUGGACCACUUCUUCCUCCGAAGCUCAUCAUCCGCGGGGCGCCCUACCCGCCCCAGGUCUCGCCCGGGGUGCAGCGGCCACCAAGGAAUCUGCUGUAAUGCUAGCGGGUGGUAGAAUUUAACAUCUGCCUGCCACGUACUGAAAUUCAGUUUCCUAACCCACCUUCUAAGUAUGUAGCACUAGAUUAAAAUCCUAACAGUGCCUUCUGAACCUCAGAAACAAAGCCCAGGGCCAGACAGGUCAGUCAGUGGCUGAGAAGAGGGUUAGCUUCAAAGAAAAUCAGCCCUCUCCAGUACAGGGGAUGCCCAAGGGCAGCUGCUAACGGGGCUCUGUCCCACACGCACUCCUGCCUGACGAGGCAGCGGGUGCGCUGUUUCAGCACACCUACCCCAUACUUCUCAAGUGCUAGAAACUCAGGCAAUUCGAAUUCUUUUCUGUACACUUCACUGUAGUUUCCAGGCUUGCUCUAAUAAAGAUGACUUUCCUUCCCUCCUUGAUCUCUUUACUUAGC